rnacentral:rRNA from 1 species
UACAGAGGUGGCAAGCGUUGUUCGGAAUUACUGGGCGUAAAGGGCGCGUAGGCGGCCUUCUUAGUCGGACGUGAAAUCCCCAGGCUCAACUUGGGAACUGCGUCCGAUACUGGAUGGCUUGAGUGCGGGAGAGGGAUGUGGAAUUCCAGGUGUAGCGGUGAAAUGCGUAGAUAUCUGGAGGAACACCGGUGGCGAAGGCGGCAUCCUGGACCGACACUGACGCUGAGGCGCGAAAGCAUGGGGAGCGAACGGG